CAGGGAGACAACAAAAUGUUUAAUAUUAUUAUUUUGUCACCUUAGGUCGAUCGGUAUCUCGCGUUCUUAAUUUAUUAAGAAUUUCAUUUCCUAAGUUUUUCUAGGUCACACCCAUUAUUUUUCCUGGGCCAUUAGCUCAGGUGGUUAGAGCGCACCCCUGAUAAGGGUGAGGUCCCUGGUUCAAGUCCAGGAUGGCCCAUAUCUCUAUGUUGGGGGUAUAGCUCAGUUGGUAGAGCGCCUGCUUUGCAAGCAGGAUGUCAGCGGUUCGAGUCCGCUUACCUCCACUGAUUACCACCUCUACCAUAAUCUGUAGAAAGGAAAUGUUUUGAGUUGUGAUCAAAUUCUGAACGAAUCUAGCUUCCUAAUGAAAUCAUUAAGAUGCUGGACUCAUUGAAUUAAUUUCAUUGUUUUCAGAGAACCUUGACAACUGCAUAGAUUAUUUUAAAGACAAUAAGCAUCUUUAAUGAUGCAGAUUUAUUAUUUGUGCGAAUGCAUUAAUAACAAUUCUAUUAAGCUGAUGCUUCAAUUUUGAAGUUAUU
rnacentral:tRNA from 1 species